UCAGUCCCAGAAUCAGUACUUCUAUCUGUCGUUGCUUUGUUCCUGUUCAAAUCAUCAUCAGGCAAAGUUUUAUGGGCAUCAUGCCCAUUCAGACUAUCUUUCCUCCCUUCUAUGGACAAAGCAGUAGUAGCUUCAACACUGUUAUGCCAUUAUGAUUGCCGUGAAAGAGAGCCCUUCUUUCUUCACUUCCUUCAAAAUUCUUGCAAUCCAUGCAUUUACAAUUUUCGGAGCACAAAAUAUUGGCCUGGAAGCACUCACAGUACUUCUUGAGGCACCCUGAUUUCUUGCAGUGACAUCCUUUAUUGUGCUUCCCAACUAUUUGAGCUUCACUUGCAUCUUCCUGGAUUUAUUUUAUGACAUUUUAAAUGCAUGCAAGUAAGAAUGUGAGAGGAGGAAGAAAGUUUAAACUUCAAAAAUGAGUGUUGUUAAGUUCAUUUGAGCAAGGAACUAAAUUUAUCCCCUUCUUUUCA